CAGUCGCCACGGUAAAACGUAGGUGGCAAGCGUUGUCCGGAAUUAUUGGGCGUAAAGGGCUCGCAGGCGGUUUCUUAAGUCUGAUGUGAAAGCCUCCGGCUCAACCGGGGAGGGUCAUUGGAAACUGGGAAACUUGAGUGCAGAAGAGGAGAGUGGAAUUCCACGUGUAGCGGUGAAAUGCGUAGAGAUGUGGAGGAACACCAGUGGCGAAGGCGACUCUCUGGUCUGUAACUGACGCUGAGGAGCGAAAGCGUGGGGAGCGAACAGGAUUAGAUACCCCCGUAGUCCCUGUCUCUUAUAC
rnacentral:rRNA from 1 species